CAGCUACUCCCUCCGUUCCUAAUUACUCGUCGCAGAAAUGGAUGUAUCUAGAUGUAUUUUAGUUCUAGAUACAUCCAUUUCUGCGACAAGUAAUUUGGAGCGGAGGGAGUAUUUA
rfam:Triticum aestivum genome assembly, contig: Triticum_aestivum_CS42_TGACv1_scaffold_404839_5BL